rnacentral:tRNA from 1 species
GAGAAAGGCCAGAGGCAAAAAGCACUGCUAAUUCUUUCACCCGUGGUUAAAUUCCACGGCUUUCUCG